GUGCUUGCUUCGGCAGCACAUAUACUAAAAUUGGAACUAUACAGAGAAGAUUAGCAUGGCCCCUGCGCAAGGAUGACACGCAAAAAAGCGUUCCAUAUUUUU
ensembl:snRNA U6 U6 spliceosomal RNA